rnacentral:rRNA from 1 species
UUAAAGUUGUUGCGGUAAAAAGCUCGUAGUUGGACUUCUACUGAGGAUGGCCCGUCCGCACUACGUGCGUGUAUCUGGUUCAGCCUCGGUAUCCUCUCGGGGAGCGUUGCUGCGCUUCAUUGCGUGGCGCGGGACUCGGGACUUUUACUUUGAGGAAAUUAGAGUGUUCACGGCAGGCAAUCGCCCUGAAUAUGUCAGCAUGGAAUAAUAAGAUAGGACCUUUGCCCAAUUUUGUUGGUUUCUAGAGCGAAGGUAAUGAUUAAUAGGGAUAAUUGGGGGCAUUUGUAUCAACGCGUCUGAGGUGGAAUUUUUUUAUUGCGUUGCGACAAACUACUGCGAAAGCAUUUGCCAAGGAUGUUUUCAUUGAUCAAGAACGAAAGUAAGGGGAUCGAAGACGAUUAGAUACCGUCGUAGUCUUUACCAUAAACUAUGUCAACUCAGGAUCGGCAGUCGUUCUUUUUAUGACUCUGUCGGCACUGUAUGAGAUAUCAUAAGUUUUUGGAUUCCGGGGGGAGUAUGGUCGC